GGACAGGAAGAUAAACAAAAGAAACAUGAUAGUAAAAAGGUUCAGAGUCAGCUUGUAAGCAAGUUUGCAAGACUGUUCCAAACUACAAGAAGAUGGCAAUCCAGCUUUGCUGUGUUUUAUCAUAGUAUAUCAUUGGCAUCCAGGCACCGAUUAAGGAAGCCAACUGUAGACCAGGAAAGGCUUCAAGGAAUAUACUACAGAAUUGUAUCCUGGAGCAUUUUCCACAUGUGACCCCUGUGAUGGUGAGGGAAAAACUAAGGGACAUUUAAAAAUCAUGAAGAGUGAACAGGAAUUCAAAAGAUAGAUAUUUGAAUACAUUAAAAUUUAACUGGAUACCAAAAAAUUAUAACUGAACAUUGAGUGUAAUAUUUACCAUUAAAGACUUCUAACUUAACUUUUCAUUUGUAGUGCAUUACUAUUUACUUCACACUGACAUUAAAUGUUUAAGUGAGUCAUGUGAUCAUUUUUUGCUCUGUAUUAUUACAAAGAAGUUUCUUAAUUCCUUAAAAGGACAAUAUCAUUGCUCUUUUCAGAAUAUUUCAUUGGAUGUUAUAUUUUCUGAUUUUCCAUGGAUAUUCUAGAAAUUUCCAAGGUUUUUGCUCAAAUAAACCUUGGAAAAUUCUCUGAUGCCCUUAAGUAAGAAUCCUCGAAAAUAUAACAGUAUUCCCAGUUGUGAGAAACUUUCCGAGGUUUUCAUUUAAAAACCUUGAAAAAACAAACCACGGAAACACUUUAAAAAUCCUUGGAAAUCGUUCCAAUACUCCGAGGUCACUCAUUUUCCAAGGUUUUCUAAACAAAAUCCUCGGAAAUUAUUUUACGAGGUUUUUAUUCUGAAAUCCUUGGAAAUCGUUCCAAUACUCCGAGGUCUUACUUUUUACGAGGUUUUUUUAAAAAAAAACUCGGAAAUUUUUUUUACAAGGUUUUUCACCCUCUCCCUAUUUUUCCAAGGUUUUUUUUAAUAGCAAAGUUUUGCAUUUUCUUGUUCCAAUACUCCGAGGUUUUUUUCCAAGGAUUUUGAGCCAAAAACCUUGGAAAAUCUACACCCGGGAUGACACCC